GGAGGGGUGCCGGAGUGGUCGAACGGGGCGGUCUCGAAAACCGUUGUACCUUCUAGGUACCGUGGGUUCGAAUCCCACCCCCUCCG
rnacentral:tRNA from 1 species